UACGUAGGGGGCAAGCGUUGUCCGGAAUUAUUGGGCGUAAAGAGCGUGUAGGCGGUCCGGUAAGUCCGCUGUGAAAGUCGGGGGGCUCAACCCUCGAAUGCCGGUGGAUACUGUCGGGCUAGAGUGCGGAAGAGGCGAGUGGAAUUCCUGGUGUAGCGGUGAAAUGCGCAGAUAUCAGGAGGAACACCUAUUGCGAAGGCAGCUCGCUGGGACGCAACUGACGCUGAGACGCGAAAGCGUGGGGAGCAAACAGG
rnacentral:rRNA from 1 species